UACGUAGGGUGCGAGCGUUGUCCGGAAUUAUUGGGCGUAAAGAGCUCGUAGGCGGUUUGUCACGUCUGCUGUGAAAUCCCGAGGCUCAACCUCGGGCCUGCAGUGGGUACGGGCAGACUAGAGUGCGGUAGGGGAGAUUGGAAUUCCUGGUGUAGCGGUGGAAUGCGCAGAUAUCAGGAGGAACACCGAUGGCGAAGGCAGAUCUCUGGGCCGUAACUGACGCUGAGGAGCGAAAAGCGUGGGGGAGCGAACAGG
rnacentral:rRNA from 1 species